UCAGGUGACUAUUAUAGUCUUAAUAGAUAAGUUGGGUGCAAAUCCCACACGAUCCCGUCGCUGUAACAGGGAGUUGUUUCAAAGUAUGCCACUGAAAUUAUUUUCGGGAAGGCUUGAAACAUACGAUGAACUGGAGUCAGAAGAACUGCCUGAUGAAUUA
rnacentral:ncRNA from 1 species